AGGAAAUGGAACUCCACUCCCCUGCCAUGAACACAGAACACUGGCUCUUCUUGUCUGAAGCUCCUGGUUUGGUAAACUGGAUGAGCAGAAGGGUACAAAUCUGCCUUUGGGAAAUACAUCUGAAAUGCAGAGAUAAACAAGUUUGCAUCUACGAAAGGAGAAUUGGAGAGAGGGGAGAAUUGAAAACACACCAGUGGUUAGAACAGAAGAGGAAAGUCCACUGCCCUUUAAGUUGAAACAGAAGGAAAGACAUGAAGGAAAGCCUUGAAUGAAAUGAAAUAAAC
rnacentral:lncRNA from 1 species